CUUCUAACUUUUCGUAAAGCAAACAUGUUUAAAUUUCUAUUAAUAUAGUUUAAAAAAACAUUUCAUUUUCA
rnacentral:tRNA from 1 species